UACGAAGGGGGCUAGCGUUGCUCGGAAUCACUGGGCGUAAAGGGUGCGUAGGCGGGUCUUUUAAGUCAGGGGUGAAAUCCUGGAGCUCAACUCCAGAACUGCCUUUGAUACUGCGGGUCUCGAGUCCGGGAGAGGUGAGUGGAAUUCCUAGUGUAGAGGUGAAAUUCGUAGAUAUUAGGAAGAACACCAGUGGCGAAGGCGGCUCACUGGCCCGGUACUGACGCUGAGGCGCGAAAGCUAGGGGAGCAAACGGG
rnacentral:rRNA from 1 species